rnacentral:rRNA from 1 species
GGAAUUUUGGGCAAUGGGCGAAAGCCUGACCCAGCAACGCCGCGUGAGGGAUGAAGUAUUUCGGUAUGUAAACCCCGAAAGACUGGGAAGAAUAAAUGACGGUACCAUUUAUAAGCUCCGGCUAACUACGUGCCAGCAGCCGCGGUAAUACGUAGGGAGCAAGCGUUGUUCGGAUUUACUGGGCGCAAAGGGCGCGUAGGCGGCGCGGUAAGUCACUUGUGAAAUCUCUGAGCUUAACCCAGAACGGCCAAGUGAUACUGCUGUGCUAGAGUGCGGAAGAGGCAACCGGAAUUCUUGGUGUAGCGGUGAAAUGCGUAGAUAUGAAGAGGAACACCUGAGGCGAAGGCAGGUUGCUGGGACGACACUGACGCUGAUGCGCGAAAGCCAGGGGAGCAAA